ensembl:lincRNA
UGAGAAUCAUGCUCACUCAUUGCACAGAGGGCCUAUGAAAUAUCACUUUCAUUUGUAAAGAGGGAAAAAAAGCAAUAAUAAAAUAACAACAAAGAAAAAAAUGAAACAACACAAGAACAAUAAAAAUGCCACAGAGUUUGAAAACAAGACCAUAGGAAUUAACAAUGAUUGUUAUACUGCAUAUUGUUAUCUUCAAAGUAGUUGCUCAGAUUACCUGAGGAAAGAAGGCAAGAUUGAUCAAACAAAUAAAAAGAAUGAAAAAUAAUUUAAAUAACAUUAGAUACAGUACAAAGCUUCCAUAAAUAAACUCAAGGAACUUUGCAUUAAAAGAAUAAAGUUCACUUCCCAGCACAAGAGCUCAAAGCACUCCAGGAAGGUUUGUGGAGUUAACCUUUUGUUGACUCUUCCAGCCUUCUCUGUCAUCACCAGCAUAUCUAAACCUUUCAACUUGGUCCAUUAACAGCACAUCCAAACAUUUCUCACCUUGUCCACCACCAGCAAAUGGAAACCUUUCCUGCCUUUCUCCAUCCCCAGAGGCUGAGGGCACAGCCGCAGUGGGUUUGUCCUUGCUGAGGUCAGAUCUCCACUCAAAAGCUCUCAGCUUUGCAGGGCAACUGCUGACUUCCGGGUCCCCAGUGCUCCCAGCAUUCCCCGCGGCAAGCAGCGUCAGAAAGGCAGUUGUUUCACCGUUCUAGAAGCUCCGGCCUCAGCCCCACUCCGGCUGUCGAGGUCCUGGCUGCGCAUACUUCCCGUCAUGUCUGCUGCUGAUGAGCGAGACCCGGCCCAAGGAGGACAAGGUGGAGCUGAUGAACAUGCAAACCUGGACCUCAAAGCCAUCUUUGAUGUCCUGGUGCCUGUGGUGUGGUCACUUGUGAUGGUGGGAGUCAUGGGCCUUAUUGCUUUUCGUGGGAUUAUCCGAUACCUUGAGAAAGAGGAGGUCCAAGAGGAGGCCCAAACCACCUUCCCCACGGGCUGCGAUAUAGAUUCGGAGGAAGACGAGGAUGAAGAGGAAAGUGAGGAGUCAGAAGCAGCAGGUUUUUCAGAGUGUAGGAUACUGCGUGCUGAAACUGAGCAUACAUUGGGGUAUUUUACCAAUGACAUCACAGCACCAAAGUCUCUAUCUUUACUUGCUAAGGAAGCAUUGCUAUGUUAUUAUGACUCUGAAUAUGAAGCAGACCAAAGUGAGGAGGAAGAAGAAGAGGAAGAGGAAAAAACUGAAGAACCAGGAGAAAAAAAAUACCUGUAGUGACAGAGGGAAGCCUUUCUUAGGAAUUGAGUUGGAAAGCAAAGAAUGAAAUGGAUGCAGAAAGAAAUAAUGAAUUUGUUCUUCAUGAGUUGUGUAGUUUUCAGUGGCCCAGAAUUCUAAUUUUGUUUCAAAGUCCAUCAGACACAUCUGACAUCUGGCUUUACAUUGUCUUCUUAAAGAUAUGUUGGAGUGAGUUUGUUCAUUUAAAAUAAAAUCCACUUUGAACCAUAUAACUUGUAGAUUUUUAUAUGUGAAUAACACUGACUCAGAGCUCAUUUUGUGUCUCUUCUGUUUGGGCCCAAAAUGCGUUUCCUUUCUGUAUUUGGCCAGUAUGUUUUAAAUUAUUUUAUUAUAGUCCAAAAUAAUUUAAAAUAUAAAAUUAUGAACAGUUCGUGUAAUGAAAGAGUUGGAAGUCUAGGCCCUACUACAUUUCAUUGGGAAAAAAAUUUCUAAAUGACCUGGUUUUCCAGAAGAUCAGGUGGUACGAAUGUGCUACUGUGAAUCACUAGCACUAACAGAAGCUUCAAACUUGUUUGGAAUGAUUUUUAGGUCUUCACCCCAGACCAGCUGAAUCAGAUUCUUAAGGCAGAGUAGCACUGAGUGUUUUGCAAGUUCUCUGUGUGCUUCUGUACAGAGAAAGCAUAGAAAAUCACAUUUAAGAACAAUGGAGAGACACACUUAACUUCACCUAUAACCUUAUUAUUCUUACUUGACUGACUUGGUAUGUGCUACGUUUUGGCCCUGAAUGAAGAUCCAUGCAUUGAAGGUCCAAAGGUCCAUGUAUCGAAGGUCCAAACAUCCAUGUAUUGAAGGCCUCAUCCCUUUCGUGAGAAUGUGCUGGUGGGUAGCGAAAGCUUUAGGACGUCAGGUCUUGUGAAAUGUUGUUGGGUCACUGACUGUGUGCAACUCCGAGGCUAUGAGGAACCUGGUACCUUCUGCUUUCUCAUUGCUUCCUGGCUUCCCUGAGGUAAGGAGCUUCCAUGACCACAUGCCCAUGCCAUGAUGCACUGUCUCACCACAGGCCCAAAGCAAUCGCAACCCUAUCAUGUACUGAAGCAUCUGAUACCAUGAGCCAAAUUACAUUUGUCCUGAUUUAAGUUGGGCUAUCAGGCAUAUUUUGCCACAGUAACCAAAUAAAUGCAACAAAACUAUUUAGCAAAGUGUUGUUAAAGUUAAACUGAACAAGACAGGCAGGUCUUGAAUGUGGAAGAGAUGAUUUAUAGCCUUCUGAAACAACUCAGGAAGAAUAUGUUCAUUUCGCAUAGCUGCCAUAUCCAGUUCCCACAACGUGUCUCUCUUUUAUUUAUUGAAGGACAUCAUCAGCGAGAUUAAGUGCCCACUGUACUCUAGUAUACCUCAGUUUGAUUGUAUUCACAGUCCCUAUUUCAAAAUAGAGUCUUAAUCAGUCAUUCUGGCUGGUAUUGCUGCAACAUAUCUUUUUGGGACACAAUCCAUAAGCAUAAGCUAAGAUCAGGUUAUGGAUGUGUAGAGUAUAACAGUGUAGCCAGUGAUGUAAGGAUCCAAAUAUUUUGGUACUAUGCACAUGAAGUUAAGAAAUGCAUGACAUAAUCUCUUUAUAAUGGAUUACAUAUGUAUAUUUGCAGACAUGUGAUAUAUAUUUAUACUAUAUAAUAUAUAUUUAUACAUAUGCAGGAAGAUAUAUAUGAAAUAUAUAAACACUUUAUUUAGGUCAGUGGCAAAGUAUGGAAAGUGAAAGAAUUUAAUUAGGUACACAGUGUGACUAAACUCUUUGUAAACUCAUAGUUUCAUGGGUAUGUCUUUGUAGUGUAUAAUGAUUGCUAUCAU